GGAAUAUUGCGCAAUGGGGGCAACCCUGACGCAGCGACGCCGCGUGGGUGAGGAAGGCUUUCGGGUCGUAAAACCCUGUCAGAAGGGAAGAAAUGCUUAUGGGUUAAUACCUUGUAAGCUUGACGGUACCUUCAAAGGAAGCACCGGCUAACUCCGUGCCAGCAGCCGCGGUAAUACGGAGGGUGCAAGCGUUGUUCGGAAUCACUGGGCGUAAAGGGCGCGUAGGCGGCUUGGCAAGUCAGAUGUGAAAGCCCACGGCUUAACCGUGGAAGUGCAUUUGAAACUGCUUGGCUUGAGUAUCAGAGGGGAAAGUGGAAUUCCCGGUGUAGAGGUGAAAUUCGUAGAUAUCGGGAGGAAUACCGGUGGCGAAGGCGACUUUCUGGCUGAAUACUGACGCUGAGGCGCGAAAGCGUGGGGAGCAAACAGGAUUA
rnacentral:rRNA from 1 species